GGAUUAGCCCAAACCAAUAAAGUUUUCUUUGUUGGGGUUGCGGACAUAUCAUAACGAAGAGGUAUCGUAAUUGAAGAGGUUUGGAAAGACCCACCACAGAAGGUAAUAGUCCUGUAUGUUAAACGAGAAGACUUUAGAUAUGAUCCAGAGUACCACGGGACACGUGAAACCCUGUGGGAAGCAGGAGGGACCACCCUCCAAGGCUAAAUACUACCUAGUGACCGAUAGCGUAUAGUACCGUGAGGGAAAGGUGAAAAGAACCCCGGGAGGGGAGUGAAAUAGAACCUGAAACCCUGCACUUACAAGCUGUGGAAGCACAUUUCUUGUGUGACCGCGUACUUUUUGUAGAACGGGCCAACGAGUUACGUUAAGUAGCAAGGUUAAGCACUUAAGGUGCGGAGCCGUAGCGAAAGCGAGUUUUAACUGAGCGUUCAGUUACUUGACGUAGACCCGAAACCGGGCGACCUACCCAUGAGCAGGAUGAAGCGAAAGUAAAAUUUCGUGGAGGUCCGAACCCACGAGCGUUGAAAAGCUCGGGGAUGACUUGUGGGUAGCGGUGAAAUUCCAAUCGAGCCCGGAGAUAGCUGGUUCUCCCCGAAAUAGCUUUAGGGCUAGCCUCAAGGUGAGAGAUACGGAGGUAGAGCACUGAAUGUCCUAGGGGGUAUUGCACCUACCGAAGACUAUCAAACUCCGAAUGCCGUCAUCUUAUACUUGGGAGUCAGACUGUGGGUGAUAAGAUUCAUAGUCGAAAGGGCAACAGCCCAGAUCGUCAGCUAAGGUCCCUAAAUGUAAGUUAAGUGGUAAAGGAUGUGGGAUUGCACAGACAACCAGGAUGUUGGCUUAGAAGCAGCCACUCAUUCAAAGAGUGCGUAAUAGCUCACUGGUCGAGUGAUCCUGCGCCGAAGAUUUCCGGGGCUAAAACUUACUACCGAAGCUACGGCAUCAGUAAUGAUGGGUAGGGGAGCUUCCCAUACGGGUUGAAGCAUGACCGUAAGGACAUGUGGACAGUAUGGGAGUGAGAAUGUUGGCAUGAGUAGCGAGAUGUGGGUGAGAAUCCCACAGGCCGUAAACCCAAGG
rnacentral:rRNA from 1 species